rnacentral:tRNA from 1 species
GUUGAUGUAGCUUAUAUAAAGCAAGGCAC